rnacentral:tRNA from 1 species
GAUGAUAUAGCUCAGUUGGUAGAGUGCUUGCCUCUCAUGCACAGGCCCUGGGUUCAAUCCCCAGCACCACCA